UACGAAGGUGGCAAGCGUUACUCGGAAUUACUAGGCGUAAAGCGCAGGUAGGCGGUUCGAUAAGUCUUUUGUGAAAGCUCCCGGCUUAACUGGGAGAGGUCAAGAGAAACUGUCGAGCUAGAGUGUGGUAGAGGAUACUGGAAUUCCCGGUGUAGCGGUGAAGUGCGUAGAUAUCGGGAGGAAUACCUAUGGCGAAAGCAGGUAUCUGGGCCAUCACUGACGCUGAGCUGCGAAAGCUAGGGGAGCAAACAGG
rnacentral:rRNA from 1 species